rnacentral:rRNA from 1 species
GACGAACGCUGGCGGCGUGCUUAACACAUGCAAGUCGAACGCUGAAGCCCAGCUUUUGUUGGGUGGAUGAGUGGCGAACGGGUGAGUAACACGUGAGUAACCUGCCCCCUUCUUUGGGAUAACGCCCGGAAACGGGUGCUAAUACGGGAUAUUCACUGGUCUUCGCAUGGGGGUUGGUGGAAAGGGUUUUUCUGGUGGGGGAUGGGCUCGCGGCCUAUCAGGUUGUUGGUGGGGUGAUGGCCUAGCAAGGCUUUGACGGGUAGCCGGCCUGGGAGGGUGACCGGUCAGAUUGGGACUGAGGUCAGGCCCAGACUGAUACGGGAGGCAGCAGUGGGGAGUAUUGAGCAAUGGGGGCAAGUCUGAUGCAGCGACGACGCGUGAGCGAUGGAGGCGUUCGGGUUGUGAACCUCUUUCGCUCAUGGUCCAGCCGCAACAAUGGUUGUGGUGAGGGUAGUGGGUAAAGAAGCGCCGGCUAACUACGUG